rnacentral:lncRNA from 1 species
AAACUCCUAAAAUAGACAUCUAACACCCUAAACUCUAAUAUUUCAUUCGUUUUAACCCUUCCGUCAGUUUCCGGUUAACGGAGCUUGAUGGAAAACUAACGGAAGGGGUAACAUGAAUGAAAUAUUAGAGUUUAGGGUGUUAGAUGUCCAUUUUAGGAGUUCGAGGGAUAAAGUGAAACUUCGUCAAAAGUUCAGGGGGUAACAAUGCAAUUUACCCCCUUUUUUAUGAUGAAUAACUAGAUUUUUGUGGUGUUUAGUUUGGCUUGACUCAAAUGUGAUUUCGUUAUGGGAUUUUAAAUAAAGUGCUAUGAAUUUAUGGAAAUAGUUUUCUAUCCCUCAUGGUAGCUUGCUUUUAAAGGAUAAAAGGUUUUCAUAUGGAAAAUAGUUUUUAAAAGAUUUUUCGGCUUUUCAUGAUCGUAGUGAUUCAAAAUAAACUUUUUGGGUAGGAAACACUUUCAACUGAUAGAUGUGGAAUAUUUAUGAAUCAUGUGAUGUACAGUUGUGUUUAUAAAUUGUGAAAAGAUAUGGUUGUGACUUGUACUAUGUGUGACGCCGUGCAAAUACAGAAGAAACUCUAUGAGUGUGGAUAGAAAAUUCUCUAUAUUUGUGGCUAAUCUGUCAUCCCUUGGGUCAAGGGUUUUUUUUUUAAAAAAAGGC